rnacentral:misc_RNA from 1 species
GAUGAAGAACGUAUCGAAAUGCGAUAAGUAAUGUGAAUUGCAGAAUUCAGUGAAUCAUCGAAUCUUUGAACGCACAUUGCGCCCGCCAGUAUUCUGGCGGGCAUGCCUGUUCGAGCGUCAUUUCAACCAUCAAGCCCCGGGCUUGUGUUGGGGACCUGCGGCUGCCGCAGGCCCUGAAAUGCAGUGGCGGGCUCGCUGUCACUCCGAGCGUAGUAGUUACAUCUCGCUCUGGGCGUGCUGCGGGUUCCGGCCGUUAAAAGCCUUAUUUACCCAAGGUUGACCUCGGAUCAGGUAGGAAGACCCGCUGAACUUAAGCAUAUCAAUAAGCGGAGGA